rnacentral:rRNA from 1 species
AUGGGAGGGCUAGGCGUCAUUGGCCUUCACAAACACGGCAUUGCUCUUAGGUUGAGGUGGGAAUGGCUUAGACGCACGGAUACUUCCAGGCCGUGGCAAGGGCUUUGCUUGGCCGCGGACAAAUCGGUUGCGCAAGCGUUUAGUAGCUUGGUGAAAUGGAGAGUUGGAGCUGGGGACAAAACCCUGUUCUGGAAGGAUAGAUGGAUCCAGGGUGCUACCAUUGCGGAGGUCGCUCCUCUGGUGGCGAAGUCAGUUCGUACGCAAGUUGCCAACAGGAGACGUGUCCGAGAGGCUCUGGAUAUGCACUCUUGGAUGAAUGAUGUAGUCGGCGACUUGUGCACGGAAGGCCUAACCCAAUUUAUAGGCCUUUGGGAGAUCCUUGAGGAUGUACAUCUGGAUGCGCAGUCCAAGGACAGUCCUAUUUGGGCUUGGAAUGUGUCAGGAACUUACACCGCAUCCUCUGCUUACAAGAUGCUAUAUGAGGGAGGAGUUAGAUUCCACUCCUUUGGAGCUAUUUGGAAGUGCUGGGCCCCUCUGGCUUGCAAAAUUUUCAUGUGGCUGGCUGUCCAAUAUCGGCUAUGGACUUCGGACAGAAGAGCGAGACAUAACUUACAAGAUCAAAUUUCAAAAUGCUUUCUAUGUGACCAAGAGGAGGACACGGUGGACCACAUUCUGCUGCAAUGUGUGUUCUCGAGGCAAGUUUGGUUCACUUGCAUCUCUAGGAUGGGGUUGCCCAUGGAGCUUUGCCCAACCUAUGAUUCUAGAUUGGUGCAUUGGUGGUCGGAUGCUAGAAAGCGUUUUCUUAAGCACUCUCGGAAGGGGUUUGACUCUUUUGUCAUGCUCAUCUGCUGGACGUUAUGGAAACAAAGGAAUGCGAGGGUGUUUGGUUCGGGCCAGAUCAAGAAUGAUCAAGACACGGUGGACAUGAUCUUUGACGAGCUGAGGAUGUGGGCCACGGCAGGAGCUUUUGGAGAGCAAUGUGUGUUAGAGUAG